rnacentral:rRNA from 1 species
UACAGAGGUCUCAAGCGUUAUCCGGAAUUAUUGGGCGUAAAGGGUGCGUAGGCGGCCUGACAAGUUAUCAGUGGCAAAUCGAGGCUCAACCUCGUGGAAACUGGUAAUACUGUUCGGCUUGAGUACAGGAGAGGUUAACGGAAUUCUAUGUGGAGCGGUAAAAUGCACAGAUAUAUAGAAGAACAUCAAUAAAGGCGAAGGCAGUUAACUAUUCUGUUACUGACGCUGAGGCACGAAAGCGUGGGGAGCAAAACGG